CAGAGUUUUCUAAACUCCCAACCCAUGUGAACUUACCUAUGUUGCCUCGGCGGCGCCCGGUAGCGAGCAUCUCGCGACCUACCCGGGACCGCCGGUGGAAAACCAAACUCUUUUGAAUUUUUAGCACUUCUGAGUUAAAAUCAUAAUAAGUUA
rnacentral:misc_RNA from 1 species